rnacentral:rRNA from 1 species
CCUACGGGAGGCAGCAGUGAGGAAUAUUGGUCAAUGGACGGAAGUCUGAACCAGCCAUGCCGCGUGCAGGAAGACGGCUCUAUGAGUUGUAACCUGCUUUUGUACAAGGGUAAACCUGAAUACGUGUAUUUAGCUGAAAGUACUGUACUCAUAAGGUUCGGCUCACUCCGUUACAGCCGCCGCGGUAAGACGGAGGAUACAAGCGUUAUCCGGAUUUAUUGGACUUAAAGGGUGUGUAGGCGGAUUGAUAAGAUAGAGGUGAAAUGUCCGAGCUUAACUCGGGAACUGCCUAUAAUACUGUUGAGCUAGAGAGUAGAUGAGGUAGGCGGAAUGUAUGGUGUAGCGGUGAAAUGCGUAGAGAUCAUACAGAACACCGAUGGCGAAGGCAGCUUACCAAUCUAUAACUGACGUUGAGGCACGAAAGCGUGGGGAGCAAACAGGAUUAGAUACCCCUGUAGUC